rnacentral:lncRNA from 10 species
CAGUAUAUAAUACACAUAGCAUACAAAAUAUGUGUUAAUCAACUGCUUAUGUUUUCAGUAAGGUUUCUGGUCAACAGUAGGCUACUAGCAGUCAAAUUUUGGGGGAGUUGAAAGUUAUACAUAGGUUUUUGACUGUGCAGAUAUUGCUUCCUCUAACUCCUACAUUGUUCAAGGGUCAACUGUACAUUAGAACCUAUAGACUUG